GUAGAUGGGCGCAUGCUGCUGAACUGGAUCUGGGCUCUGCCCUCUGGCCCUGAGCUCAACCAGAGCUCCCAGCCCAGACAGCUGCUCCCAGUCAGACUGCCUGUCUUUCAGGGGAUGAACCAGUGACUGCUGAGGAGAGGGAGCAACAUGGUCUCCAGUGUCCCCUCUGCAUGCAGUCUGGUGCUACCUGGGCAGAAGAGUCCCAAGAAAACGUUUCUGAGGGUGUGGCAGCAAGAUUGGCCACCAACUUCUUGUUGGGUGAUGGCGUGGGGUUCCUUGUCCUGCCAACCCUCGGUUUCCUCACCUGUCAAGGGGGACAGGACCAGACUGAUCUGUUCUCUGAAGUUCCUUCCUGCACAGCAUUUGUCACGCGUGAUUCUCUCUGCCUUGGUUUCCCACCUGUAGAAGGACCCGGCUCAGGAAGCGGCUGCAGCUCAGCGGCGUGGGGCUUUGUUUGCAGAUCCUGGUGUCUUGGAGAAAACUCCUUUUGGAAAGGGUUUGGAGAGAACCAAAGAGCCAAAGUGGUGCCGAGCCGGCAGGAGGGCCUGCUUCCAGCCCCAGCACCGGGAGCACCGACCCACCCCGCCGGGCUGCUGCCACCGCCCCGUUACGUAAUUUCUCACUUGGAGGCAAAAUCGGGAGCAACGCGUGUCCUCAGCCCUGUGGGAGCUGAAGUCCUCUCUGUGCGGUGCCAGUGGCAGUCUCUGUGCCAAGCUGUUUGCCCACCGCCUGCGCCCGCCCCCGGAAAUGCAGGGCCUGUCCGCACUUCUUGAGCAUCUUUCUCUGGUCGAUUCUCCGAGAAGCUGGAUCUCGCCAGGGUGGGUGGACUGGCAACCACUUAGGUUCUGCCCAUGCUUAGGUCUGACAUCGGAGUCUCUGAAGUUCCCGGUUUCUGAUGCAUUCCAGAGCCUUGCUGGAAUAUGUCACAGCUCUGGCCAGAGUGGCCAGGCACAGGCCUUGGGUGCACUGUCCACAGGGGUCCUGUGGCCUCCCACCCACCUGCAUCUUAAUCAGCAGUGACCAUGCUGAUCAUUGUCUGCAGAGCCCACAAGGCUGCCAAGAGCCGCCUCGGUCAGGGCCCCAUGAGCCUCCUCUUUGCCACCCUCACAUGUACCUGGGGCACCCCACAGCCAGCUCCAUUUCAUGGAAGUGAAACCUGGAGUUCGGGGAGGUUACAUAACCCACAGGAGGUUGCCAGGCCAGUGCUGGGGGAGGCAGGAGGCCACCGUCACUCCUGACUGCAGAGAGAGCAGUAGUGGCCCCUCCUCCCUCCUGAGUCUACAAGUGAGGUGGGCCUGGCGCAUCCCAAGUCUGUGCUGGGGGUGACGGGGUGUGCUUUUCAUGUAACUAUGUAUUUAUUUUCAUGUGUAUUAGAAAAAAAAUUAGCCUAUCAAACCUAUGAUUGCACUGAGUAUAAUGUGAAGAAGACUAAGGUUUAAAAAAUUGAGACUAUUUU
rnacentral:lncRNA from 1 species